ensembl:Y_RNA Y_RNA Y RNA
GGCCGGUCUGAGUACAGUGGUAUUUACAACUAACUGAUCACAACUAAUAGAUUUCUUUGUUCCUUCUCCAUUCCCACUGAUUCACUUGACUAGAAAA